rnacentral:rRNA from 1 species
GACGAACGCUGGCGGCGUGCUUAACACAUGCAAGUCGAACGGAGUGGCGAACGGGUGAGUAACACGUGGGUGACCUGCCCUGCACUUCGGGAUAAGCCUGGGAAACUGGGUCUAAUACUGAAUAAAGGGGGAUGGGCCCGCGGCCUAUCAGCUUGUUGGAGGGGUGAUGGCCUACCAAGGCGGUGUCGGGUAGCCGGCCUGAGAGGGUGACCGGCAACAUGAGUACGGAGAUACUGCCCAGAGAUCUACGGUGGGCAGCAGUGGGGGAAAUUGCACAAUGUGCGAAAGCCAGAUGCAGCGACGCCGCGUGGGGGAUGAGGGCUUUCGGGUUGUAAACCUCUGUCGCAAGCGACGGGGUAGGUGGAGAAGAAGCGCCGGCUAACUACGUGCCAGCAGCCGCGGUAAUAC